GCAUUAUAUGCUCAUAAUGUUAACAACAAAAAAUGCUGAUAAUGUUAUAAUUAAUAAGUUCUAACAUUAUUUUUAUGUGUUUUGUUGCAGACACCAACUGUUGAUGUUCUAUCUCAACAUUCUCCAGACUCAUGUGAGCGAUAAACCGACUUCAUCCCUCCAACAGACACCAACUGUUGGGGUUCUAUCUCAACAUUCUCCAGAUUCAGAUGUGAGCGAUAAACCGACUUCAUCCCUCCAACAGAAACCAACUGUUGAGGUUCCAUCUCAACAUUCUCCAGAUUCAGAUGUGAGCCAUUAACUGACUUCAUCCCUCCAACAGAAACCAACUGUUGAGGUUCUAUCUCAACAUUCUCUAGAUUCAGAUGACAGCCAUAAACCGACUUCAUCCCUCCAACAGAUUGACAGCAGGACAAAUCGCUGGAAGUGGGUAUGUCUCAAGCUUCUUCCACUUGGUCCACUCCAAAGCGGGCUGCAAAGGGGAAGAAGUGGAAGCAGUUGAAUGACACAUGUUGCAUUUUGUAACUGGCAACAAAGUACCAGGUAAAAAAGAUUGUGAAGCCUCCCUCCAUAAAGAACUAGUAACUCUACAGGACAGAGAUUGGCUUGACAUCAAGUACUACAUCCAAAACAGAAUUAUAUUUAAAAAAGGAAAAAAAAAUGUUUUCCCACAUCUUCUGUGGUAGUUUGAGUAUGUUACCAGCAAUUAAAAAAGCAAAAUAAACAGCAAGCGUUUUGUAUUUAUUCCAGAUAAUUCUUAGCGACAAAAUCCACAAAAACAAUUCAGUUACACUUAAUCGACAAUUACAUUUUUACCCAUGUUUCUUUUAAACUCUUCUUGGUUUUAGAUUACAGUAGCAUGGGAUUGGGAUUUUUUUUUUUAAAUGACAACACAUCAACUAAACCAACUCAGGUGGUUUUGUUAAGUCUCUGAUGUCAUUAGCCUCAUAUGUCACAUGAACCUGAAAUCUUUAACACUCUGUGAUGUCAUGGUUGUCAUAUUUCACAAACUUGAAAUCUUAAACACUCUGUGACGUCAUGGUUGUCAUAUUUCACAAACUUGAAAUCUUAAACACUCUGUGACGUCAUGGUCAUCAUAUGUCACAUGAACCUGAAAUCUUAAACACUCGGUGACGUCAUGGUCAUCAUAUGUCACAUAAACUUGAAAUCUUAAACACUCUGGUCUUCAUUUGUCACCGAAACCUGACAAGUCCUCAUAUGUACCAUAAAAAUCAGGUUCAGAAAAAAACAAAAGAGUUGCAAAAAUCUCAAUAGACCACUGUGUUUGUAAAAUUCUGGUUCACUAACCAUCUGAUUCCCAGGCCUGCAGGACCAUUGGAAAGGCAUGUCCCCAUAUGUCACGUUUUUGUCAUAAGUCCUCAUAUGUCACCCAAACACGUAUGUGUGUGUGUGUGUGUGUGUGUGUGU